CAAUAGCGUAUAUUAAAGUUGUUGCAGUUAAAAAGCUCGUAGUUGGAUUUCUGGUGGGAGCGAUCGGUCUGGCGCUUAGCGCGAGUACUUGCAUCGUCUCCGGCCAUCCUUGGGGAAAGUCUGUCUGGCAUUAAGUUGUCGGGCAGAGGAUCCUCAUCGUUUACUGUGAAAAAAUUAGAGUGUUCAAAGCAGGCUUAUGCCGUUGAAUAUAUUAGCGUGGAAUAAUAAGAUAGGACUUUGGUACUAUUUUGUUGGUUUGCGCACCAAAGUAAUGAUUAAUAGGGACAGUUGGGGGUAUUCGUAUUCCGUUGUCAGAGGUGAAAUUCUUGGAUUUACGGAAGACGAACUACUGCGAAAGCAUUUACCAAGGAUGUUUUCAUUAA
rnacentral:rRNA from 1 species